rnacentral:lncRNA from 1 species
UACUGUGGAUUCAUUAAUAUUCGUUGGAUACCAAUUUUCGUGGAUUUCGUGGGUACAGGGAAACAACGAAUUUAAAUGUUCAACGAAAUGCAUAUUUUCUAAAGGAAUGCAUGUGAAUUUUGUCAAAACCACGAACUUAAAUAUCCACGAAUAUGCAAGUUUCCCUGUGUCCACGAAAAUUGGUACCCACGAAAAUAAAUGAAUCCACA